CGUCUCAUAUUUAAACUCAAAUUUCAACCCUAAUUUAUUCCUUUCUUCACACAAAAUCCUAGCCGUCAUUACAUCUUAAUAUUCUCUGAAAUCACACGCUGCAAUUCCUCUCUUUUUCCCUACAAAAUUCGCAUCGAAGUGAGAUCCAUCUCGUCUCAGUCGUAGUAGACACCAUCUUUUACAAUUCCUAAGCUUCAGAAUUGAAUUUGACUCGUCGACUGUUCGUACAUCAGAGGCGAACCAGAGUUAGAUUGCUUGUUAGGUUUCACGUGGAAUAGCAAGCAGUGAGUUUAUAUCUCUAUUUACCUUUUUAUUAAGCAAAUGUUAUAUUUUGUAUAUAUAUGUAUAAACAGCUUUUGAUUUGUUUUCCGCAUUGUGGAUUUGAUUUGGAACGUGCUACUCGAUGGGCAUCAUCGGAACUGCGUGCGCACCGGUAAUGAUUAUGGUAUUGAGGUAGGUUUGAGAUACGCCUCACCUUAGUGAGGGCACCGGUGGAAGAUACGUCUCCUGGGCUCACUAUUUAUUAAGUGAUAGUCGGGGAUCGGUUAUUGAGAUACGUCUCACCGACACGACAAUAGAUUUAGAAUUGUGGUUUAGGUUUUCAUUGAUAAUCCAUAAUGAAAAUGUUUUAUUAAACAUUUUUAAAGGUUUUCAACUUAUUAAAUGUAAAUGGUUAUAUAAACUCUACUCAGUAAAUCUAACCCCGUUGUUUUCCCAAAUUUUCCAGGUUUGUGAUUUGAGCAUUUUGUCGAUCUCCGUUUCUUCGUUCUCGGAGGUUCUUUAUUUUAUUUUCAGAAUAAAAGAGUCGAACUGUUUUAAACUCUUAGACCGCAGUAGUAGUAUUAGAUUAUUCAUGUUUUAGUCUUAUACUUAUAUUUUAGAUUAUUAUUUGUUGGUA